rnacentral:rRNA from 1 species
UACGUAGGGGGCUAGCGUUGUUCGGAAUUACUGGGCGUAAAGGGCGCGUAGGCGGUCUUGUAAGUCAGAUGUGAAAGCCCCGGGCUCAACCCGGGAAUAGCAUUUGAUACUGCGAGGCUUGAGUCCGGGAGAGGAUGGCGGAAUUCCCAGUGUAGAGGUGAAAUUCGUAGAUAUUGGGAAGAACACCGGUGGCGAAGGCGGCCAUCUGGACCGGCACUGACGCUGAGGCGUGAAAGCGUGGGGAGCAAACAGG